rnacentral:tRNA from 1 species
GCCACCCUAGCUCAAUUGGCAGAGCACAAUACUUGUAAUAUUGCGGUUGUGAGUUCAAGUCUCACGGGUGGCU